AGCAUGAACCAAUAAAAAGAUCUAAUUAAAGUGAUUUACAAACUUCAAUUGGUUUCCACCAUGACAAGCAUCAUGCAGUUUCUCAAGACAACAAAGUAACACUGGCAGGUUAGCUGAGGCUUAUUAACAAGACAGCACAGGAGUUUUAAAAGCCUCAAGAUAAAGAGUCUCAAUGUCUCUCUCCCAAGGUCAGCCUUAGUAAUGCAAGGGAAGGAAUGGUCCUGGAGAAACUCUAAGAGGGUAGACAAGAAUCAGAAGUUAAAUGCCUCUUUACCUUCAAUGGGUCAGUCUGAUGUAUUCCGCAUGGCUCUGCAAAAGGUCUCAGACCUUAAUUAAAAAAAUCGGGGCAAGGAAGAGAAGCGUUAUUCAUUGGGAUGCCUCAGAGACUUCAGCUCUCAUUAUAUAAAAUAAAUGGUUACGGAAGCAGAGAACACUGUGAAUAUCCAAAUUGAAUCAUUCUGCAUGUGAUGUAAAACCUUUGACUAUAUUAUGAAGAUGUAAAAAUUACAAAGGAGCACUGAGACAUGAAUGAAAUUCCCCCAGAGAAUCAUUAGAUGAUGUAUCAACUUGACAAAAUACACCCAAGUAUUUGUCUAUUUCUGUCCGUCAUCACUAACAAUUCCCAGAUCCAAGACAUCAUCAUUUUUCACCUGGACUACCGCAUUGGCUGAAAUUAAAAAUCUGAACUUCCUGGUUUGAAUCCUCAUUUGACUUCUCAUUUCAUUAAAAAUAAAAUUUGAACUUUUAUUCAUGUUUG